GGGUUGCUAGCUCAACUGGCAGAGCAAUCGCCUUUUAAGCGAUAGGUUCGGGGAUCGUUCCCCCGGCAGCCCACCA
rnacentral:tRNA from 1 species